UACGAACCGUACGAACGUUAUUCGGAAUCACUGGGCUUAAAGGGUGCGUAGGCGGCGCAGAAAGUUGGGUGUGAAAUCCCUCGGCUCAACCGAGGAACUGCGCCCAAAACUACUGUGCUCGAGGGAGACAGAGGUGAGCGGAACUUAGGGUGGAGCGGUGAAAUGCGUUGAUAUCCUAAGGAACACCGGUGGCGAAAGCGGCUCACUGGGUCUCUUCUGACGCUGAGGCACGAAAGCUAGGGUAGCGAACGGG
rnacentral:rRNA from 1 species